CUCUCCUCUUUGGGUGCCCCUGACUCAGGCAGCACCACGACGACUUCUUUCCUCUGACCUUCCCCGCCCCUCAGACCGAGGCAACCGCGCCUCUCCGCCACCCUCUCUUCAAAACCGCGACGUCUGAGGAGAACAGCGGGGGGAACCGUCCCGUCGUCCCACCAGCGCGGGUAAUCCAGCUCCCCUUCUCGACGCCGCCGGAAUAAGCGCGGGCAGAAGAAUGCAUACGCACAAGCGGCAAAGUGGGAAACGGGCUCGAGGUGCUGUUUCUCGAACGUCUGAGCUAUACCCUAGGGACGAGAAAAGAAGGCACCUUCCACUGCUCCAAGGCUUUCCACUUGACUCCAGCACUGAUCCUUCACAUACUGUAUAUGAAGAAUGGCAGCAGAGCACAUUCUGAAGCUUGAGGGAGACUGGUAUGGUUCGGGCUCUGAAGUAACAACUAUACGUUAUGGAAAACGUAACUAAUCGCUGUGACAAUGGCUGACUGGACAAACGUCACUCUGAAAUGCUGAAAGCUAUCAUAAUGCUAGAAACAAAUGCUGAAGGUUCUACGAUUCCCAUUUUUAAACAAAACCCUUGGCUACUUUACAGAUUGAAAGAUACUACUGCCAUGAGCACCCACAGGAGUUUUUCUAGGGGGUGGGGGAAGUAAAACACUGAAAAUGGGGAGCAGGCUAAUCUCUCAGGGG